rnacentral:lncRNA from 11 species
UUGCAACUCAGUUCUAUACUUAGAAGGCAUGAAAUAAUGAAUACAUUAUGGAAAGAAGAACAUACCUGAAUACAUGUAACUUACUCCACAGGGAAAUAUCACAAAGAGCAGGAAGCACAUUUAUGUAGUCAUAGUGAAAAUCAAUGUUAUGGACUUGGACUCAAGAGACCUAGGUUCAGAUUUCCACUGAGUCCUGAAAAUUAUUGGGUAAUAUUGGCUUAGUCCUUGGCUUGUCACUCAUUUUCUACCUGGCCUUUUUCACAAGGAUGGUGUGAGGAUAAAUAGGGUCAUCCAGUCCAACCCCCUGCCAUGCUAAUUGUGCAAUCUGGAAUAUCCUUUCAGAACCCGAGAGCAGCCACCACAAGGGGAGAGGUGUGUUCAGCACAUGGCAGUGUGGUGCACAUGUGAUGCUGGAGUGAGGUUCGCACCUUUUAGUCCCUUCAAGGCAGGGGGGAAAGUGCCCACGUGAUGUGGGACUGUGAGUGGCCCAGCAGCAUCAGGAGGAGGAGGAGCAGCAGAAGCAACUUAGGAGCAACUUGAGUUGUACUUCGACCUAUGUACUUCUGCUAUGUACUUGAGUCGACCUAUGUACUUCUGCAAACAGAAGCAGAAUCAACAAACAAAGUAAACAUUCCACUAUGCCAAGGGGAGAAAUCAAUAGAUAUGUUCCUUGUGGAAAUAUACAGAACACAGCUCUUCAGCAUCUUCUGAACCAAGACAUGAGCACAAAAAAAGAGCUAUUCCGUCGAGUACAAGAAUGGGAUCAUGGAAUUCUUCUUCUGUUGUAUCCCAGCCACAGGUUGGCCACGGCCACGUUCAAGAUGAUGACACUGAAGGGGAAUUUGGUUUCCAAGAUGGAACAGAAGAGGAUUCUGGUUUGGGGAUUUUGCAGCAGUCUGAGCUUCCUGUUAGAGACAUGCAGUUUCACUUUUAGCAAGAUGACCUGCUGGCCCCAGAAGAGUCAGAUAACGGUCAAGCUGACAUUCUUCCUUUGGGAGUUUUUGAGGAGGAUUCGACAGUUGAGAGAAAUAAUGAGGAGGUAACUGGACAACUAACAAAUAAUGACGGAGCCGGGGCAACUGAAGACCAGGUGCGAGAUAACAGUGACCCUGAGCUGUCCAGGCAAGACCGUUUGUCUUGGCGGGGCUCUGAGCUCCGCAGAAGUGAUCGUUUGGCGCGCAAAAGACAGUUUUUGAAAGAAUCAAGCUGUGGCAAAAGAAACGCCUUCUUGGGUUGCUAUUAAAAGAAGCCUGUGCAGACCAUGCCCUUUGUCAGAGCAAUUCAUCGCUUCAUCCUUGUGCAUGUUUCCCUUGCCAACGUCUUGGAAGCUAGGGCCUUGUUUUGUGCUUUCUAAGGACUACACUUUGCCUCUGGGAUUACUUUGCAUUCUUGGACCCUGUUUCUUGCUUCCUACGGAUUAAUACCUGGUUUUGUGGAUUACUUAUAGUUUGGACCUUGUGUUUUGGAUCCUGUGGACUAAGACUUUGUGCUCUGAACUUCAUGUUUUGGAUUCUAUGGAUUAAGACCCUGUGCUUUGGAUUUCAUGGACUAACUCUAUGCCUUAUGGAUUAUUGCUAUUGCUUUGCCUUUUGAACCAAUGGACUUUGCCUUUUGAACUGAUGGACAUUUAUGCAUUAUUGAUUCCCUUCUACCUUUGGACACUUUCCUUAUAACUUUGAAUUAUCUUUUGAUUGCUUGCUUCAUCUAUAUACUACUUUGCUUUAAUAAAGACUUUAAAAGACUAU